UACGUAGGGGGGCAAGCGUUGUCCGGAUUUAUUGGGCGUAAAGAGCGUGUAGGCGGCCUGAAAGGUCAGCUGUGAAAACUCGAGGCUUAACCUCGAGACGUCGGUUGAAACCAUCUGGCUAGAGUCCGGAAGAGGAGAGUGGAAUUCCUGGUGUAGCGGUGAAAUGCGCAGAUAUCAGGAAGAACACCCGUGGCUAAGGCGGCUCUCUAGUACGGUACUGACGCUGAGACGCGAAAGCGUGGGGAGCGAACAGG
rnacentral:rRNA from 1 species